GGGGAAUUUUCCGCAAUGGGCGCAAGCCUGACGGAGCAAUACCGCGUGAGGGAGGAAGGCUCUUGGGUCGUAAACCUCUUUUCUCAGGGAAGAACACAAUGACGGUACCUGAGGAAUCAGCAUCGGCUAACUCCGUGCCAGCAGCCGCGGUAAUACGGAGGAUGCAAGCGUUAUCCGGAAUCAUUGGGCGUAAAGCGUCCGCAGGUGGCUUUUCAAGUCUGCUGUCAAAGCCCGGGGCUCAACCCUGGAGAGGCAGUGGAAACUGAGGAGCUGGAGUGCGGUAGGGGCAGAGGGAAUUCCCGGUGUAGCGGUGAAAUGCGUAGAUAUCGGGAAGAACACCAGUGGCGAAGGCGCUCUGCUGGACCGUAACUGACACUCAUGGACGAAAGCUAGGGGAGCGAAUGGGAUUAGAUACCCCAG
rnacentral:rRNA from 1 species